CAUCUCUCGACAUCACCAUCUCCACCUUCGCGCCACCACCAUCUCUAUCUCCACCACCAUCAUCUCCAUCUAUAUCACCAUGAAAAUCAGUUAAACCAACCAGUUUCAUCACCACCUCCUACCCCACUACUACCAAAUACACCGGCGACAGCACCACCACCACCUCCCAAUUUAGAUCGAUUUUUCACAUGAUUCAACUACACUUUAAACCUAGUGAUGAUACAACACAAAUCUAUUCUCCAAAACCUAAUCUCGAGCAUCAAAAAUGUUAGAUUCAUUUCGAUUUUGCAACUAAAUUAUCCAUGAUUCCCAUUUCAACCCUAAUUUUGGAUUUCAUUCUUCUCUGGAUUUGUAAUUGAUUUAGUUUAAUUUAUGAUAAUGGAGAUAGCGGUGGAAGUGAUGAUGUAGAUUUGUGGUAUUUUUGGUUGGAAUUGAUGAUGUAGAUGGAAGAAAUGAUGUAAUUGAUAAUCGAGUUUGUGGUGGUUCUGGUUGGAAUGAUGGUUGUGGUGUGGUUAGAAUAUUGAAAUUGUUGAUGGAGAUAGUGAUGGUGUUGGUUUUUGUGGUGGUGGUGGUGGAUAUUCUGUGUGAUUGUUGGUGGUAGUGAAGCUGGAAUGAUAAAUACAAGAAGAUCAGUGCUUGGUUUUAGAUAAAACUCUGAAGUAACUACUACUUUUGUUACCUUACUCUUUACGUUCAAGUUCACAAUUAUCAACUACUGUGGUUGAUCCCAUAAAUGGGAUCAACUCCUGUUGUUGACGACGUUUUUUAUGGGAUCAACUACUGACUCCUAUUGUUGACAGCAUUUCCUUGGAUUAGUAUAGUCAUGCUUGUAGUUUUAAAUCAUGUUUGUUAAAAAAAAUAGUUUAAUUUCUUUCUGGUUUGUGUUUGUGUAUUUGUUAUUCGACUAAUGGUAGUGGUGAUGUUGUUGGAUUUUAUAGUUGUAAAGUUUUUCAAAUGUUGAAUUUGUGGUGCAAUGGUAGCAUGACUGACUCCACGUCAGAUAAUGUUUGUUCGACUGAGGCCAAGUUCACUCAUUCGUAUAUGUCAUUUUUUUUGUCAAACUUUAUUUGUUGCAACCAAAAGAUGGUUGUUGCAGAGAUUUUUGAUUCACUGCUCUAGCACGAAAGGGCUUGACGUGUUGAUGUUGA